GAUGAACGCUGGCGGCGUGCCUAAUACAUGCAAGUCGAGCGAACAGACGAGGAGCUUGCUCCUCUGACGUUAGCGGCGGACGGGUGAGUAACACGUGGAUAACCUACUUAUAAGACUGGGAUAACUUCGGGAAACCGGAGCUAAUACCGGAUAAUAUAUUGAACCGCAUGGUUCAAUAGUGAAAGACGGUUUUGCUGUCACUUAUAGAUGGAUCCGCGCCGCAUUAGCUAGUUGGUAAGGUAACGGCUUACCAAGGCGACGAUGCGUAGCCGACCUGAGAGGAUGAUCGGCCACACUGGAACUGAGACACGGUCCAGACUCCUACGGGAGGCAGCAGUAGGGAAUCUUCCGCAAUGGGCGAAAGCUUGACGGAGCAACGCCGCGUGAGUGAUGAAGGUCUUCGGAUCGUAAAGCUCUGUUAUUAGGAAAGUACAGAUGUGUAAGUAACUAUGGACGUCUUGACGGUACCUAAUCAGAAAGCCACGGCUAACUACGUG
rnacentral:rRNA from 1 species